rnacentral:rRNA from 1 species
GAUGAACGCUGGCGGCGUGCCUAAUACAUGCAAGUCGAGCGAACGGACGAGAAGCUUGCUUCUCUGAUGUUAGCGGCGGACGGGUGAGUAACACGUGGAUAACCUACCUAUAAGACUGGGAUAACUUCGGGAAACCGGAGCUAAUACCGGAUAAUAUUUUGAACCGCAUGGUUCAAAAGUGAAAGACGGUCUUGCUGUCACUUAUAGAUGGAUCCGCGCUGCAUUAGCUAGUUGGUAAGGUAACGGCUUACCAAGGCAACGAUGCAUAGCCGACCUGAGAGGGUGAUCGGCCACACUGGAACUGAGACGCGGUCCAGACUCCUGCGGGAGGCAGCAGUAGGGAAUCUUCCGCAAUGGGCGAAAGCCUGACGGAGCAACGCCGCGUGAGUGAUGAAGGUCUUCGGAUCGUAAAACUCUGUUAUUAGGGAAGAACAUAUGUGUAAGUAACUGUGCACAUCUUGACGGUACCUAAUCAGAAAGCCACGGCUAACUACGUG